UACGUAGGGGGCAAGCGUUGUCCGGAUUUAUUGGGCGUAAAGAGCGUGUAGGCGGCCGCACAGGUCCGUUGUGAAAACUAGAGGCUUAACCUCUAGACGUCGAUGGAAACUGUUUGGCUAGAGUCCGGAAGAGGAGAAUGGAAUUCCUGGUGUAGCGGUGAAAUGCGCAGAUAUCAGGAAGAACACCCGUGGCUAAGGCGGUUCUCUAGUACGGUACUGACGCUGAGACGCGAAAGCGUGGGGAGCGAACAGG
rnacentral:rRNA from 1 species